rnacentral:lncRNA from 1 species
UAAAUAGCAAGAUGGCAGAUCCACAUCAGGAAGGAACAUCAGGAACAUCCAUAGUGUUCCAUCCAUGGAACCUCACCAUGGAUAUGCUUGUGUUCAUGGGCCUGGUCUUCUCUCAAGAUACGGUCAGUUGGUCAGUUGUCAGGGAUCAGAGGCCACACUCAUCAUAGCAGAGAGGCAGGAUCAGCUGGGUCAGGGUCCUUCUGUGACACCUACUGCAUCACCAGGCCGUGCAAAGUGACUCAGCUGCCAGAACUCACAGAAUAUCAUUCUGCACCAAAACUUCCCAGGAAAAAUGCUGGUUGGCGGUCAAGCCUCUGCGUGACCUCAGCUUCCUGGGGACCAUCUCCGGUCAGUGGCAGACAUGGAGAUGUGCUGCACCGAUCCCCUUUUAAGGAAGGAUUUGCUGCCCUGCAUGGGAAGUGUGCUCAGCAGAGAGGCUCCCACUUCUUUCAGGCUACUCCAAAGCUCACAGAAGAGCAGGUAGGUGCACUGCAUACUCAUUCCUACCCUAAAACAUUGACCUUAAGUGUUGAAAGAAAUGCAAUGGGCUAAA